rnacentral:rRNA from 1 species
AGGGAAUCUUCGGCAAUGGACGGAAGUCUGACCGAGCAACGCCGCGUGAGUGAAGAAGGUUUUCGGAUCGUAAAGCUCUGUUGUAAGAGAAGAACGAGUGUGAGAGUGGAAAGUUCACACUGUGACGGUAUCUUACCAGAAAGGGACGGCUAACUACGUGCCUGCAGCCGCGGUAAUACGUAGGUCCCGAGCGUUGUCCGGAUUUAUUGGGCGUAAAGCGAGCGCAGGCGGUUAGAUAAGUCUGAAGUUAAAGGCUGUGGCUUAACCAUAGUACGCUUUGGAAACUGUUUAACUUGAGUGCAAGAGGGGAGAGUGGAAUUCCAUGUGUAGCGGUGAAAUGCGUAGAUAUAUGGAGGAACACCGGUGGCGAAAGCGGCUCUCUGGCUUGUAACUGACGCUGAGGCUCGAAAGCGUGGGGAGCAAACAGGAUUAGAUACCCUGGUAGUCCACGCCGUAAACGAUGAGUGCUAGGUGUUAGACCCUUUCCGGGGUUUAGUGCCGCAGCUAACGCAUUAAGCACUCCGCCUGGGGAGUACGACCGCAAGGUUG